rnacentral:rRNA from 1 species
GAGAACGCUGGCGGCGUGGAUUAGGCAUGCAAGUCGAACGGUAGGAUCCUUUCGGGGAUCUGAGAGUGGCGAACGGGUGAGUAACACGUAGGUGAUCUACCCUUAAGACGGGGACAACCCAGGGAAACUUGGGCUAAUACCGGAUGUGAGCUAUCGCGAGAUAGUUUGAAAGGUGGCUUCGGCUGCCGCUUGAGGAUGAGCCUGCGUCCUAUUAGCUAGUUGGUGAGGUAACGGCUCACCGAGGCAGUGAUAGGUAGGCGGCCUUAACGGGUGGUCGCCCACACUGGGAUUGAGAUACGGCCCAGACUCCUACGGGAGGCAGCAGUCGAGAAUAGUCUACAAUGGUCGAAAGACUGAUAGUGCGACGCCGCGUGAACGAAGAAGCCCUUCGGGGUGUAAAGUUCUUUUAUAUGUGAGCAGUGACACCCAUAUUAAUAGUAUGGGUGUAGAGAUAUUAGCAUAUGAAUAAGCAACGGCUAACUCCGUG